rnacentral:rRNA from 1 species
CGCCCGCCGCGCGCGGCGGGCGGGGCGGGGGCACGGGGGGCCUACGGGAGGCAGCAGUGGGGAAUCCGGCCAUCUCAGGACUAGCCUGAUCAGCAUGCCGCGUGAGUGAUAGAAGGCCUUAGGGUUGUAAAGCUCUUUUACCCGAGAUGAUGAUGACAGUAUCGGGAGAAUAAGCUCCGGCUAACUCCGUGCCAGCAGCCGCGGUAAU